rnacentral:rRNA from 1 species
GGUUAAGCGACUAAGCGUACACGGUGGAUGCCCUGGCAGUCAGAGGCGAUGAAGGACGUGCUAAUCUGCGAUAAGCGUCGGUAAGGUGAUAUGAACCGUUAUAACCGGCGAUUUCCGAAUGGGGAAACCCAGUGUGUUUCGACACACUAUCAUUAACUGAAUCCAUAGGUUAAUGAGGCGAACCGGGGGAACUGAAACAUCUAAGUACCCCGAGGAAAAGAAAUCAACCGAGAUUCCCCCAGUAGCGGCGAGCGAACGGGGAGCAGCCCAGAGCCUGAAUCAGUGUGUGUGUUAGUGGAAGCGUCUGGAAAGGCGCGCGAUACAGGGUGACAGCCCCGUACACAAAAAUGCACAUGCUGUGAGCUCGAUGAGUAGGGCGGGACACGUGGUAUCCUGUCUGAAUAUGGGGGGACCAUCCUCCAAGGCUAAAUACUCCUGACUGACCGAUAGUGAACCAGUACCGUGAGGGAAAGGCGAAAAGAACCCCGGCGAGGGGAGUGAAAAAGAACCUGAAACCGUGUACGUACAAGCAGUGGGAGCACGCUUAGGCGUGUGACUGCGUACCUUUUGUAUAAUGGGUCAGCGACUUAUAUUCUGUAGCAAGGUUAACCGAAUAGGGGAGCCGAAGGGAAACCGAGUCUUAACUGGGCGUUAAGUUGCAGGGUAUAGACCCGAAACCCGGUGAUCUAGCCAUGGGCAGGUUGAAGGUUGGGUAACACUAACUGGAGGACCGAACCGACUAAUGUUGAAAAAUUAGCGGAUGACUUGUGGCUGGGGGUGAAAGGCCAAUCAAACCGGGAGAUAGCUGGUUCUCCCCGAAAGCUAUUUAGGUAGCGCCUCGUGAAUUCAUCUCCGGGGGUAGAGCACUGUUUCGGCAAGGGGGUCAUCCCGACUUACCAACCCGAUGCAAACUGCGAAUACCGGAGAAUGUUAUCACGGGAGACACACGGCGGGUGCUAACGUCCGUCGUGAAGAGGGAAACAACCCAGACCGCCAGCUAAGGUCCCAAAGUCAUGGUUAAGUGGGAAACGAUGUGGGAAGGCCCAGACAGCCAGGAUGUUGGCUUAGAAGCAGCCAUCAUUUAAAGAAAGCGUAAUAGCUCACUGGUCGAGUCGGCCUGCGCGGAAGAUGUAACGGGGCUAAACCAUGCACCGAAGCUGCGGCAGCGACACUAUGUGUUGUUGGGUAGGGGAGCGUUCUGUAAGCCUGUGAAGGUGUGCUGUGAGGCAUGCUGGAGGUAUCAGAAGUGCGAAUGCUGACAUAAGUAACGAUAAAGCGGGUGAAAAGCCCGCUCGCCGGAAGACCAAGGGUUCCUGUCCAACGUUAAUCGGGGCAGGGUGAGUCGACCCCUAAGGCGAGGCCGAAAGGCGUAGUCGAUGGGAAACAGGUUAAUAUUCCUGUACUUGGUGUUACUGCGAAGGGGGGACGGAGAAGGCUAUGUUGGCCGGGCGACGGUUGUCCCGGUUUAAGCGUGUAGGCUGGUUUUCCAGGCAAAUCCGGAAAAUCAAGGCUGAGGCGUGAUGACGAGGCACUACGGUGCUGAAGCAACAAAUGCCCUGCUUCCAGGAAAAGCCUCUAAGCAUCAGGUAACAUCAAAUCGUACCCCAAACCGACACAGGUGGUCAGGUAGAGAAUACCAAGGCGCUUGAGAGAACUCGGGUGAAGGAACUAGGCAAAAUGGUGCCGUAACUUCGGGAGAAGGCACGCUGAUAUGUAGGUGAGGUCCCUCGCGGAUGGAGCUGAAAUCAGUCGAAGAUACCAGCUGGCUGCAACUGUUUAUUAAAAACACAGCACUGUGCAAACACGAAAGUGGACGUAUACGGUGUGACGCCUGCCCGGUGCCGGAAGGUUAAUUGAUGGGGUCAGCGCAAGCGAAGCUCUUGAUCGAAGCCCCGGUAAACGGCGGCCGUAACUAUAACGGUCCUAAGGUAGCGAAAUUCCUUGUCGGGUAAGUUCCGACCUGCACGAAUGGCGUAAUGAUGGCCAGGCUGUCUCCACCCGAGACUCAGUGAAAUUGAACUCGCUGUGAAGAUGCAGUGUACCCGCGGCAAGACGGAAAGACCCCGUGAACCUUUACUAUAGCUUGACACUGAACAUUGAGCCUUGAUGUGUAGGAUAGGUGGGAGGCUUAGAAGUGUGGACGCCAGUCUGCAUGGAGCCGACCUUGAAAUACCACCCUUUAAUGUUUGAUGUUCUAACGUUGACCCGUAAUCCGGGUUGCGGACAGUGUCUGGUGGGUAGUUUGACUGGGGCGGUCUCCUCCUAAAGAGUAACGGAGGAGCACGAAGGUUGGCUAAUCCUGGUCGGACAUCAGGAGGUUAGUGCAAUGGCAUAAGCCAGCUUGACUGCGAGCGUGACGGCGCGAGCAGGUGCGAAAGCAGGUCAUAGUGAUCCGGUGGUUCUGAAUGGAAGGGCCAUCGCUCAACGGAUAAAAGGUACUCCGGGGAUAACAGGCUGAUACCGCCCAAGAGUUCAUAUCGACGGCGGUGUUUGGCACCUCGAUGUCGGCUCAUCACAUCCUGGGGCUGAAGUAGGUCCCAAGGGUAUGGCUGUUCGCCAUUUAAAGUGGUACGCGAGCUGGGUUUAGAACGUCGUGAGACAGUUCGGUCCCUAUCUGCCGUGGGCGCUGGAGAACUGAGGGGGGCUGCUCCUAGUACGAGAGGACCGGAGUGGACGCAUCACUGGUGUUCGGGUUGUCAUGCCAAUGGCACUGCCCGGUAGCUAAAUGCGGAAGAGAUAAGUGCUGAAAGCAUCUAAGCACGAAACUUGCCCCGAGAUGAGUUCUCCCUGACCCUUUAAGGGUCCUGAAGGAACGUUGAAGACGACGACGUUGAUAGGCCGGGUGUGUAAGCGCAGCGAUGCGUUGAGCUAACCGGUACUAAUGAACCGUGAGGCUUAACCUU